CCUGCCUUGGUCUCCAAAAAUGGUAAGAUAACUAGGAUUACAAGUGUGAGUCCAGCCUGCCCUUUUUUAAUGGCUGUAUCUUCCAUGAAAGUCCAUAUUUGCAAGAUUCUGUAAUUUAGUGGCAUCAUGGAGUAGGCCAUUCUCAUUUUAUCCUAAUUGUCCAUGACUUUGGGGUGCUGGCAAGGAUCACAAUUUUGGGAAAGGGCCAUGCCAUACUGAAAUCAGACCUGGAGGAGAAAGAAUCUGUACCCAAGGAGAUGGCGUCAGGAAUUAAAGGGCCUGCUUUUGAGUCCCCAUAUCACCUGGCUUCCUUAUUUUAGUCAGAAUUUCUUCUUUGUUAGGAUUUUAGCUUGUAUGUGGACCCCUCAAGACCAAAGCAGCUUCUCAUUCUUUUGAGACUGUUCUCCCAGCUUAAUCAUUUCAUUCUCUUGCUAUUUCUUGUUUUAAAUAUGUGAGAGAGGAAUUCUCGCCUGGUUACUAGUUCACAUAAGGCAGUUUCACAUUAGGCAGUCGUGGGUCACUGACCAGCAAUGGCCUUGGCUACUUUGGGCUAAGUGUGCACCUCUAACAUGAUCAACUAAAAUUGAAAUUAAAAUAAAUGUGAUACAGAAUUUGCCUAAGGGCACGGAAGGGUGUGGUAGACACCAGACUUAAAUUUCCUGGUAGAAAUGGAUACUACUUAUUGGGGGUUUACUAUGUGCCAGACACUCUUUACAUAUAUUAUCUUAAUUCUUCAAAAAUCCUAUAAGGUAACUAUUACCAUUUUACAUAUGGGGAAAUGAAGAUUCAGAGUGGUUAAGUAACUUGCCCAAAGGUUUGAAUUCAGACCUCCCUGGCUGUAAAGCAUGCUAUUUUAACCACUGUAUUAUACUUGCAUCAUGUAAUGAGAAGUGGACCAGAUCAUGAAGGGGUCUUAUAUAUCAGGUGGAAUGGACACCUGAGAUAUUUGCUUAUUCAUGUCCCCUUCUCCAAGAAUUGUCCCUGAACUACCCAUAUUCUCCCACUGGUUACAGCAUAACCAGUGAACAAGGGAUUGAUUUCUGACCCAAGCUGGGCAAAUCAGGUUCACUCAAGAAUGCUGGACUCUAGAUCAUGUAACUUAAAAGGCUGAGGGCAUUAUUUGAGCAUAGCCAGUCAUAUUUAUUUUCUACUGUAUAUCAGCCAUUGUUCUAAGCACUAGGAAACAGUAGUGAAUAAAACAGACUGAAAUAUUUCCCUAAUGGGGCUCGCAUUCUAGAGAGUCAUGUUUAAGAGGAACAGAGGAAGAAGCUGGUCUGCAUAGAGGAGUAGACAGAAGAGGUCAUGCAUCCUAUAGCAGAUUGGAUGAUUGUUCUCAGUUCUUCACCUGUAUGUAUCUGUGUCUUUCCCAUGGCUUCUGAGUGGAUGGGAGUGUACUUGCAUGUCUCUUGGCUUUGAGCUUGGCCAAGUCACUCACUUUGGUCAAUAGAAUGUUAAUGGAGCUGAUGCAAGCAGAGUACUGCAAUGUGCUCAUGCAGUUUGCUUGUGCUGCUGUCAUUCACCUUGAGAAGACCAUGCCCUGGAUAGCCAUUGGUCCAUGGACGGUGAGAAGCACAUGGAGCAAACCUAACUCAGCCUAACCUAGCUGAGUUGCAGCCAACCUACAGACCUGUGAGCAAUAACUAAAUGUUUAUUGUUUUGAGUCAUUGAAUUUUGGAGUGGUUUGUUACAUAGCAUUAUCGAAGUAAUAAGUUACUGAAACAGCAUGAGAAAGAAGCUGUUGUCUUAAUGCUCAGCUGCUUUCCAAUUUCAUAUUAUAGUCUCUUAUGGGUCCCAGCAAUAAUUUGUGCCUUGGAUGUCUGUGAGCUAUCCCUAAAUCCCUAUAAUUAAUUUAUUAAAUAUAAUAAAUUCCACUUGAGAUAGAGUCAUUUGCAUUCCCAUUCUUAAUUAAUAUAGAAAAUGGUGUCAGGAAUGGGAGUACAAGUGACAGACCAAGAAAAUAUGAAAAUGUCUAUGGGGUUACUGAAGGGUAGGAGCCAGGGUAAUGAAAGUCCCCAAUUCUGGAUGGGACACAAGCCAUCUAUGGCAUAAAGUUCUGAAGAGCCAACUGAUUUAUUGCUUGUGGGCCCUUGAGAUCUAAACCACAGGGCUAAGGCGGAUGCUUUUGUGUAAAGUACAGUGGCAAGGACACUCCAGUUCUCAGUGGCAUAGCACCACGCUGAGUGUGACCGUGGAGGCAGUGAGAAGCUCUUACAGUGUCAUGAUCAUACUGGAAACCUUCUGAAGGAGGAGGAAAUUGAUGCAGAGAGGUUUAGCAGUAGAAUCAACAGGACUUGCUCAUUGAUUGAGGUAAGGGAGAGUGAGGUGUCAAUUCCAGACUUCUGACUUGGGCAACUGAAUAGCAUGAUUCACUGUGGUAGGGACAUAACCCAGAAGAAGUUGCAGGUAUGGGAGAUGGCUCGAAGAUGUGUUCAAUUUUUAAUAUGUUGAGCUAUAAGUACCUGUUGGACAUCCAAACGGAAAUGUCCAGUUUCAUAUGGACCUGGAGCUCUAAUGAGAGAGUGGGGCUAGAGAUACAGAUUAGGAUUUAGGACAAACCCCAAGGAGCACAAGCAUUUAAAAGAUUAAUGACAUCAACAAGAGAAAUAGGGGUUGUACAAGGAGACAUUGGACUAAAUUGGGAGAGGUUUACAGCUUAUAAGUGACUGGGUUCACAAGGAAAUAGAAUAUUGAGAAAUUGUACUCCAAAUCCACCAUUCUCACCUUUGAAAGUGACCUCUUCACCUGGGGCUCAGGAGAAACAGCUCUGUGUGAUGGAUCAAUGUUGGACUCUCAAAAUCAUAACUUUCUACAUACAGGGCUUCCUUUAGGGAUCAUAGAUUUCACACCCAUGUUUAAGCAGUUAUGGCAUAGUGUAAAGCAAAUUUUUUAAAAAAGACAAUAUAUUGUAUAUGACAUGAUUUCGAUUGUGUUAAAAUAUAUAGAAUAUUGAACAGAAAUAGAUUAAUGGUGAAAAGGAAAGGAAAAACCAUUGGUCAAGGAUCAGUAUGACCUUGAUCAAAGCACUUAGCCUUUAUGAGCAUCCUCACCAGAAAAUAGAAUUGAUGGUGUUAAACUGCCUACCUUACAGGAUUAUUUUAAAAAUUAAAUGAGAUCACUGAAAGCACUUUGGAAAUUGUAAAGAUCUGUAAAUUCUCACAUAUUAAGGAGCUUCCAAACACUAGUGUUUUGUUUCAGGGAAAUCUGUUUCCUCACCAAGAUGAUGUUUGGUGUUUGUUAAAAUGAAUUGGCUGAUAACUUGUUAAGAUUUUUUGAAAGAGAUCCGAAAAGUCUCAAAAAUCUGAAAAUUCUACAACCAUGUUAAUUUUUCCCUAGAGCUAAACUAAGUGAAGAUGUACCAUGCUUGAUUCUUGCUCCCUCUAUAUACCUUCUCUUGUCAAAUGGUUUUAAAUUAACUUUUAAACACUGGCUUCCUGUGUUCCACUGCUAAGGUUACAGCCCAUAUUUAUAAAAACUUUUUUGCUUGCUAGGACACCUCAUUAAUUACAUACUGAGCUUGUAUCAAUAUUGAGCUUGUUGACGUGCAGGCUGUUUAGAGGUUGAAGCCUUACCAGACCAUCUGCCCACCGCUGUCAUUGGAAAUGCUUUUCUCUGUUACUAUAAUGAAAUCACUAAAAUCAUUUCCUGUUCCUAGUCCUUGUUCAGAUCUUCUAUCUACUGUCAAUAAGAGGAUAUUAAAAUACUCAGGAAAAGUCCACAUAUCCUUUUCAUCGUGGUCCAUAAUGUAGCACAUGGCUUUGUGUUUUAGCAUUGGAUAUAAUAAAUAAUCAAUGACGUCAAGCCUAUUAUAAUAAAAGAAGGCUGCUUAUUAAACUCCCUUUCUCCAGCUGUUUUUCCUUUGACAUCAUGGGAUCUGUUUAUAAUGACCUUUAUGGGUUUUCCCUCUUACCUUUCAAAGUUUAUAUGAUUACAUGAGAAACUGAAGUUUUGGGAACAGUCCCUUCACAGAAGUUGACACCUUCCUGCUCAGGCCCAGUGCUCAUGCAGACUCUAACAAUGGGAUAGUGGGAAGAAAGAACAAAGAGGCUUUCUGUAGUUUCCUGAAGGAAUUUGACUUCCUGAAGUAUGGGCUUGCUUCCAGAAGAAGUAUACAUUGAAAGCACAGUGGGUGGGUGGGGAUUGUGUAUGUAAUCAUAGUCCACAAUUGAAGUGAAUGCAUGUACCAUGGCUUUAUUAUGUCACUCAACAUAGGUUCAUGUAGUUUUAUUUUGAGUGGUGCUUAUUAACUCCAUGCCAUUUGAGGAAUUUGGCAUCUCUGGAAAUUCACUCUUCCUUGGGUCUGUAUUUGGAAAGGUUGGUGACAUUUAUAAAUCCAUGAGUGUGCUUUCUUUGAAAUGCAGCUGUUUUUGGACUUUUUGUAGCUGUACCCAGAAGCAAGCAUUCACUUGGCCAAUCAUCAAGCAAUUCUGGAGGAACCUCCCAAACCCUUUAAUUGUCCCCUACCCCCAUUACAGAGAAGUCUGUACUGUUAUCAUCAUUGGAGGAAAAAAAGUCUGUUGAUGUUACAGACCCUGGGACAAAAUUUCUACAUUAAAUUCUCUAAUUUAUUUUUAUGUUUGUUUUAGGUUUGUGCAAACUAGAUAACUGUUCUACAGUUUUUCCUAAACGAUCUCUAGAAAUUAUUAUAAUUUCUAGGAUUACAGUAUUAAAUAUUCAAAGCAAUUUGGAGACUUCUUACUUCACAUACACCCGUUUGUUGCCCAUAUCAGAUAUCAAGUGUCAUCUGACUAGUCUUUAAAGAUCCCAAAUUUUAUCAUUUCAGAUGAGACUUGAGUGAUCUGAAAACGUUAGAUUUUUUUUCUAUUUGAACAUGCUUUAAGGUGUAUUGGCUAUUUCUUUAGAGCAAUUGAGGGAAAACACACAAUUUCCCAGAACAACUCACAAAGUGUUCAAGAUCAUUUUGCUUUUUAGGAAGUGGCCUACUUAAAAAGUGUACCUUGGGCACUUGUGACCCCAAGAGAAACCAGGAGGAUCAUGCUGCAGAAGCCCUUUGGAGGAACGUGCCAAUUGCUCCGUAACCAUGAGCUGGCUCUCCUUUGAUGGAGAGAUUAAUAGUUUCCAUAAUCAUAUCAUCCUGGUUGCUCUGGGCCCAGAGUUUACUCAGACUUGAAAGAAAUGGAAGUUAAUUGAAAAAGGAAAAAAAAAAUUCUUCCUCUCUCAUUUCCCCUCUAAGCCUCUCAUCCAGAGAAAUGAUGAGAAAGAGAUUCGAGGGUUUGUUACCAGUGGGAGCAAAAAUGUCUAUUUUCUUUUGCAAUUCUAGAUGAAAAGAACCAGAAGAAAGCAGUUGGAUGGUGGAGAAGAGGUUAAGAUCUCAAUGUAUCAUGGAAGGAGAAACAUACGUUAUUGGACACAAAGGUCUGGAGUUCAGAAAGGAGGUCUGGGUUUGAAACACAUAUUUUGGAGUUGUCAUCAUAACGGGUACUUAAAGACAUGAGAGGGGAGGAGAUUGACAAAGAAGGGGCUAGAGAUCGGAAAGGCUCUAGAUCCUUACCCAAAGGAACCUGAAUAUCUAGAGGAAAGAAAAGGGAGAGCUGCCAAAAGAAGAUCAAGAAGGAUCAAUCCAAAGGUACCACCAAGACAGUUUAGCAAAUAAGAAAAUGAGGGAUUGGGAUGUGUCCCCUCUCAAAUACAUUCUGCUGAAGAUCUGGGGAAUGCAGUGGAGCAGUGAAGUGUUCUUUACCAUCCAUGGAGAGAGUACUUCCAAUUUCUCAAAAGCUCCAUCUUAAGGUCAGAGAACUCUUUUGCCACAAGUUCCAUAGAUCAAAAUGAUAGGACAAACAAAGGAGAAAGACAAUUUCCCAUCUGGAUACUGCCCAAAGCUUCUAAUUUUGGUACCUGUCUAUGUUAGACAUCCCCCAAGUCCAUGUCCUAAUCUCCAGAACCUGUGAAUAUGUUAUCUUAGGUGGCAAAAGGAUUUUGCUGAUGUGAUUAAAUCAAGGAUUUUGAGAGGGGGAUUAUCCUGGAUUAUCUGGGUAGGCAGAAUGUAAUCACAGGGUCCUCAUAAGUGAAAGGAGACAGGAGAGUUAGAGACAGUCUUAAAGAUACCACAUUCCUAGCAUGAAGAUGGACCAAAGGACUAUAAGGCAAGCAGUGCAGGUGGCCUCUACAAGCUGGAAAAGGCAAAGGAACAGAUCCUCCCCUUGGCACCUCCACAGGGAACACAGCCCUGGUGACAUCAUAGAUUUGUGAAACCUAUUUCUGACUUCUGACCUCCAGAACUAUAGUUUAAUACAUUUGUGUUGUUUUAAACCACUAAGUCUGUGGUGAUUUGUGGCAGCAGCAAUAGGACACUAAUACAUUUCCCAAGGACUGACCACUUUCUUUAUGUGUCCUGAUUGAUUUGCCAUGGAAAUGUCAUUUUUUCACUCUUUUGGCGUUAGAAGCCAAUUAAACACUUCUAAUCAGGCAAAUCUAUGCAGAGAUUUCUCUAACUAAUAGUCCUUUCCCUGAGCCUUCUCAGAGUAUGUAAAUUUUUAAACUGUACCACUUGAGCCCAGUGAAAAUUCUUAAUUGGUGGAAUUCUAGGAACAAUGCUGGAGAUGUUUUGAAAGGGUCAGCGUUGUCUUAGAAUCCUGUCAGAGAAGGGGGAAAGCCUAGAUACUUGGAGUCCUCUAGGAUCAUGGGGUGUAGGCAUGUUCAGAGAGGCUCAGAGAGGGUUCCUGCCCUGCUUGGUCCUCCAAAGUGACCGUAGACAGGCUUCAGUGGUAUCAACUAUUCAGGCAUCCCCACCUCAGGGCCAGCACCCAACUCAUUCUCCUGACAUCCUUUGGGAUAGGCCUAUGGAAUGAAUUGGCUCCAUCUCUCUUCUUUAACAGAGGUGGUUCAAGCUCCGCUAUAGACUCAGCUUUAGGAAAGCCAUCACUGACCUCAGCUUGGUUCCAAAAGGUCUCUCUCUGACCAGUGUUUUGCAGUAAGAAGACUGGAUUUAAAGUCAGAAUGCUUUUGCUUGGUUCUCACUAGCCUGUGCAAGAAGAGGGUCACAGAGCUUCCCUGUCCUUUUGUUUCCUCAUCUGUAAAAUAAAAAUAUUUACCUCAUAAAAUCAUUAUACAGAUAAGAGAAAAAAUGCAUGUGAAAGCUGUAAAUAUUCUACACUUUAAAGUUCAUCCAUACUCAGCAAAAAAGAAAACAGAAAGAGAAAGAAAAGGAACAAAUUACUGAUACAUGCAGCACAAAAAACAAGCUUACAGAACAUUAGUGCUUCGAUCUUUACCAAACUUUACCAAAAGUUUGCUCAAAAGUUAAGUGCCAGGAGCCAAAAACCUAUACCUGUUAUAUAAUUCCAUUUCUAUGACAUUCCAGAAAAGGCAAACUAUCAGAUAAAUAGUUGCCAGGGGCUGGCUGUGGAGGAGAGGAUCGAGACAAGGUAACUUUCUUGGGGUGAUGGAAAUGUUCUAUAUUUUGGUUGUUUGGUGGUUACACAACUGUGUAUGUUUGUCAAAACUCAUAGAAUUGUACACCUCAAAAGUAUGAAUAUUGCUGUAAGUUAUACAUCAAUAAACCUGACUUUUCAAAAA